GGAGAGAGAAGGCCAUGCUAAACAGAGUGACAAGCUCAACAGGGACAUCGGCAGAACACUUGAGAAGUGAUCAGGAGCGUGGAAAACGCGUCUCUUGAGCUUAAACUGUCUCGGUCAGGUCUUUUUAUGAGACUGGAUUAAAGAUAAGAAGAUUCCGGAAAUUUGAUGGCGAGCUUCCCAGCGUGAAAAGACCAAGAAACUUCAUCCUUCAUGGACAACUCUUCAGUGUGGUAGGACAAUACCAACUGACAGGAUUCCAUACAAACUUUGGAGAAAUAAAUACCUUACACAGGAUUAAGGGGGAAAAAAAGUGAUCACGAGAGUGAAAGACAAUU